CUGAAAGUUAAAAACAUGGCGUGGGACACCAAGUCGGAACUUAAAAUUCAAGGAGCAGCAUCUACUGAAAGAGAGGCUCCUGGCAGGAAUUAGCCGUGGAGGGCGAGCCAUGAAAAAAACCACUGGUUUUUCAAGGGUUGUAACACUCACUAUGGUUUAGAAAACAGGUUUUUAGAAUAGCCAAAAGAAUCUGCCAAGUCCCCCACUCUCUCUCCAAAAACAUGAAUUAAUGAGAAAUAAAACUAAAACCAAGCUGAAAUUAUUCUACUAUAAGUAACUUCAAGUGCUGGGGGUAUGGAAAAUCUGUACAUUGCUGCCAAAGGAUGUUCACAUGGCUUAUGCUUAAAGUCCAGUGUGUACUAUAUCUGGAUAAAAAGCUUUUUACCAGUUGCUGCAGAGAAGUUUCUGUGUGGAUGACCUAAUAGGGACAUUCAGGAGAAAAAUUGAGGUUUCUGCUGCUAACAACCAAGAAUCCUGACUAAAGGAAAUACCAAGAAGCACACAGACUGAGAAGAAACUGCCUCUGUAACUUGUAGUUCCUAGGUAACCUGAAGGAAAUAGGAAUCGUAAACUGCUGGUAAUAGAAAAUCAACGUCAAAGGAUUACAGACCGAAGGAAGGUAAAGAAGUGGCAUCAGUGAUGGUGGGCUGGACUUCUGACUAGUGCAGAAGGAAGGAAAAGGGCUGGAACUUUAAGGAGUAAC
rnacentral:lncRNA from 1 species